rnacentral:rRNA from 1 species
UACGGAGGGAGCUAGCGUUGUUCGGAUAUACUGGGCGUAAAGCGCACGUAGGCGGCGCCGUAAGUCAGGGGUGAAAUCCCGGAGCUCAACUCCGGAACUGCCCUUGAAACUGCAGUGCUAGAAUCUUGGAGAGGCGAGUGGAAUUCCGAGUGUAGAGGUGAAAUUCGUAGAUAUUCAGAAGAACACCAGUGGCGAAGGCGACUUACUGGACGAUUGUUGACGCUGAGGUGCGAAAGCGUGGGGAGCAAACAGG